CCGCUCAGAAACUUAAAGGAAUUGACGGGGGCCCGCACAAGCGGUGGAGCACGUGGUUUAAUUCGAUGCAAACCGGAGAACCUCACCUGGGUUUGACAUGUACGUGGUACGGAUCUGAAAGGUGAAGGACGGGUACCUUCGGGUACCGAGCGUACACAGGUGCUGCAUGGCUGUCGUCAGCUCGUGUCGUGAGAUGUGGGUUAAGUCCCGCAACGAGCGCAACCCUACGCUGAGUUACCAGCACGUAAAGUGGGGACUCUCAGUGGACUGCCGGCGACAAGCCGGAGGAGGUGGGGACGACGUCAAGUCAUCAUGGCCCUCAUGUCCAGGGCGACACACGUGCUACAAUGGCCGGCACAACGGGAAGCGACGGCGCGAGUCGUAGCGGAUCCCUCAAAGCCGGUCCCAGUUCGGAUUGCAGUCUGCAACUCGACUGCAUGAAGCCGGAAUCGCUAGUAAUCGUGGAUCAGCCAAGCCGCGGUGAAUACGUUCCCGGGCCUU
rnacentral:rRNA from 1 species